rnacentral:rRNA from 1 species
CGGAGAGGGCCUGAGAAACGGCUACCACAUCUAAGGAAGGCAGCAGGCGCGCAAAUUACCCACUCCCGGCAUGGGGAGGUAGUGACGAGAAAUAUCAAUACGGGGCGCCUAUGUGCCUUCCCGUAAUUGAAAUGAGUACACUCUAAACCGGUUAACGAGGACCUAUUGGAGGGCAAGUUGGGUGCCAGCAGCCGCGGUAAUUCCUACUCCAAGAGCAUAUGUUAAUGCUGCUGAGAUUAAAAAGCUCGUAGUUGGAUCUGGGUAGGCAGCGGGUCCCCUACGUCUAAUUGGCGUGUGUGGUGACUGACGCAAUAUGCUCGCAGUGGUUCGGCGAUGCCCCCGUUGGUGUUCCGUUCUUGGUGUCGCUGCCACCACCGGCCAGUGACCGUGCUGUGUGUUCUUCAUUGAGCGCGCGGCUCGUCUGGCACGUUUACUUUGAAAAAAUUAGAGUGCUCAAAGCAGGCGUACAAACUCUAUACACAGUCCGAAUAAUGGUGCAUGGAAUAAUGGAAUAGGACCUCGGUUCUAUUUUGUUGGUACACGGAUCUACGAGGUAAUGAUCAAGAGGGGCAGACGGGGGCAUCCGUAUGGCUGCGUUAGAGGUGAAAUUCUUGGAUCGCAGCCAGACGCACAACUGCGAAGGCAUUUGCCCAGAAUGUUUUCAUUGAUCACAGAACGAAAGUUAGAGGUUCGAAGGCGAUCAGAUACCGCCCUAGUUCUAACCGUAAACGAUGCAAACCAGCGAUCCGCCGUUGCCGUGCUUCAUAGCGAUUAGGUCGGCGGGCAGCUUCCCGGAAACGACAGUCUUCGUGUUCUGGGAUAGUAUGGUUGCAAAGCUGAAAUUUAAAGGAAUUGACGGAAGGGCACCACCAGGCUGUGGACUGUGCGGCUUAAUCGGACUCAACACGGAAAACUUACCCGGGUAGGAUACCGGAAGGAUUGCCAGAUUGAAGCUCUUUCUUGAUUCGGUGGAUGGUGGUGCAUGGCCGUUCUUAGUUGGUGGAGUGAUUUG